rnacentral:rRNA from 1 species
GACGAACGCUGGCGGCGUGCCUAAUACAUGCAAGUCGAGCGAAUGAAUGGGAGCUUGCUCCUGUUCGUUAGCGGCGGACGGGUGAGUAACACGUGGGCAACCUGCCUGUAAGACUGGGAUAACUUCGGGAAACCGGAGCUAAUACCGGAUAGUUUCUUUCUUCACAUGAAGGGAGAUGGAAAGACGGUUUUGCUGUCACUUACAGAUGGGCCCGCGGCGCAUUAGCUAGUUGGUGAGGUAAUGGCUCACCAAGGCGACGAUGCGUAGCCGACCUGAGAGGGUGAUCGGCCACACUGGGACUGAGACACGGCCCAGACUCCUACGGGAGGCAGCAGUAGGGAAUCUUCCGCAAUGGACGAAAGUCUGACGGAGCAACGCCGCGUGAGUGAAGAAGGUUUUCGGAUCGUAAAACUCUGUUGUCAGGGAAGAACAAGUACCAGAGUAACUGCUGGUACCUUGACGGUACCUGACCAGAAAGCCACGGCUAACUACGUGCCAGCCGCCGCGGUAAAAC